rnacentral:rRNA from 1 species
UACAGAGGUCUCAAGCGUUGUUCGGAUUCAUUGGGCGUAAAGGGUGCGUAGGCGGCGCGGUAAGUCGGGUGUGAAAUCUCGGAGCUUAACUCCGAAACUGCAUUCGAUACUGCCGUGCUUGAGGACUGGAGAGGAGACUGGAAUUUACGGUGUAGCGGUGAAAUGCGUAGAUAUCGUAAGGAAGACCAGUGGCGAAGGCAGAUCUCUGGGCCGUAACUGACGCUGAGGAGCGAAAGCGUGGGGAGCGAACAGG